GAUGAACGCUGGCGGCGUGCCUAAUACAUGCAAGUCGAGCGAAGCGGGGACGGGUGAGUAACCCGUGGGUAACCUCCUAUAGGGCUGGGUUAACUUCGGGGAACCGGAUCUAGACCGGCUACUUAUAGGUGGAUCCGCGCUGCAUUAGCUAGUUGGUAAGGUAACGGCUUACCAAGGCAACGAUGCGUAGCCGACCUGAGAGGACGAUCAGCCACACUGGAACUGAGACACGGUCCAGACUCCUACGGGAGGCAGCAGUAGGGAAUCUUCGGCAAUGGGCGAAAGCCUGACGGAGCAACGCCGCGUGAGUGAUGAAGGUCUUCGGAUCGUAAAACUCUGUUAGUAGGGAAGCGGUACCUGAUCAGAAAGCCACGGCUAACUACGUGCCAGCAGCCGCGGUAAUUC
rnacentral:rRNA from 1 species